UACGUAGGGUGCAAGCGUUGUCCGGAAUUAUUGGGCGUAAAGAGCUCGUAGGCGGCUUGUCACGUCGACUGUGAAAACCCGGGGCUCAACUCCGGGCCUGCAGUCGAUACGGGCUGGCUUGAGUGCGGUAGGGGAGACUGGAAUUCCUGGUGUAGCGGUGAAAUGCGCAGAUAUCAGGAGGAACACCGGUGGCGAAGGCGGCAUCCUGGACCAACACUGACACUGAGGAGCGAAAGCCAGGGGAGCAAACGGG
rnacentral:rRNA from 1 species